GACCUUUGGAGGCGAUUAGCACUAAAACAACUAUUCAGCUAAAGAGGGGAUAAGUGGACAUAGUUGCCUGCCUUUGGUAUGAUGAAAAUAGAGAUCUAUUUCAAAUAGGGCUGAUAAUUGCACCCACGGGAAGAAAUUAUUUAAUUUUGACCCGGACCUUUGCACCGUUUCUGCACUGACAGAAACGGUUCAAAGUUAUGAUGAAUAGACAGAGAUUCUACUUCAAAUAGGGCUGAUGAUUGCACCCACGGGAAAACCAAGUAGGAUGAAUUGAGUGGCGUCAUGUUGUUUGAACCUGAAUGAAAUGUACAUAAAAUAGAGGAGCCUCCCAACCUAAAGACACCAACGACGGCGAAAAAUUUGAUUUAACCACUGUUCAACUUUUCUUGUCAUGUUACUAAACUUAUUUUUUUUCAGAAAAGUGGACGAGUGGUAAAACUAAAUAUAAUAGAAAAAUAACGUCCGGCCUUUACGGACGCAAACAGUGCCAGCAGGUAAGUAUGGCACUGAAACAACUGAGGGAAUAGGCCCCCCUCGUUUGUGAAAAGAAAAAAUAUAUAAAGAACAUCGUUGUGUCUCAUCCCAAUUGUUAUAUUAUGUAUUUUUCGCGCCGUAUUUCUAUCCUUUCUUUCCAUGCUUUGCUUUCAUGUUGUCUACAACCUCUUGUAGACCCUUCUUCUUUCCACAGCGCUGGAGAAGCAGUUUUACGCCGUCCCGAAAUUCUAAAUGUAUUUGAAUGCGAUUGUAAUAGAUUUACUGCGGAGUUGUAUUAAUAUGAUCUGAGAGAUCGUAUAGAUUUUUUUUCAGAUAAAUAACAAUGUCCAAGGAACGAAUGCCCGAAAAACGUAGCAGUUCAGGACACUGAUCGAGAGCCAGAGGACAAUUCAACUCCACAAAAGUUUAUUCUUCAAACAGGUUUGAUUGAUAAACCACGAGUGAGUACCCUGAAACUAACAUAGAAAUAAAUAAAUCGGGCUCCUUUGAGACAUUGACUUUAUUCUGAUUUACAAAUUUGUACAAAAUAUAUUAAUAUCAUUCAGUUAGAUAACAUUUCUUUGUUUCUUUAUCAAACAGAUCUGUGGUCUCCAUUUACGUUGAGUUCCACAUGUUUUAAAAUUAUUAAAUAACAUUAACAUAGCCUACUUUUAGCAUUAAAGAAUUCAUGACGUAAAACUAUAACAAAAGUGAUUGUAUUUUGUUUCGUAUCCCUAUCUGUUGUAUCAGCUGUGUGUGUAUUCCUUUAUUUGUAUUAAUUUGUUUGUGUUUUCUUUCCAAAAGAACGUCUGAAUCCCACAAUCAUAAAGAGUAAAAUGGACGCCCAUUCAUCAAAACGGGACGAUAAGGUGACAAUAACGGUAUCUAAGCAAAUUAAAAAAAGAGCGGACCUGGUAAGAACCCGCUAUGGUAAAAAAAAUAACGAUCCUAUAGUGCCACCAAGAUCCCCCGCAGAUAUAGUCUUGAGAGAAGAAGGCUUAUACUCGGUCUUUCCAUUUACUUAUGAUGUGUACGAAUGGACAGAUGGCUGUUGGCCAAUAGGUGGUUCUUUUGAUUCUUGCAAACUACAAGAAUUAAAAGAAACAAUAACGUCUGGACCAGAUCCGAAUUGGGAUUUUAAUUACACACAGAAUUGUUUAGAUGCAUGGAUUCGCACGGCAAAACGACACCCAAUACCGAAACCAGUUAAACAAGAAGUAACUCCAGAAAUCGCGUCUAACAUUUUCAAAAUAA